GGGGGAGCGCAGGAUCCUGGGCUGUGUCCCUGGCGCCUGCACCGCUGGAAUUGCGCUCCUGGGGCCUCGCAGGCCCUC
rnacentral:pre_miRNA from 1 species